rnacentral:lncRNA from 1 species
GUGCGUUCCCGUCGAGGCUCGCGCAGCGGGCGUUUUUGGGGAUCGCCUGGCGGGGGUGUUCGGGAGCCGCGGGCUGAAGCACGGGGGCGUGCAGGCGCCCAGGCCUCGUGUAGUGAGGGCCGAGCCCCGCGCCGGCUUCGCUGUAGUCCGCAGCCCCCGGCGGCUUUGUGGGCGCAGCCACGCUCCUCAGCCGCCCGCCCACCUGGGCCUGGGCCCCGGUUGUUUCCCUGCGGUGGCUGUGGUCGUUCCCGUUCCAGGGUCUCGAGCGCACCGCCCCUUCGCUGCGCUGUUAGUCGAGGGCAGUUUUCUGGGGGAUCCCCCGAUCCCCCCGCGCCGCUCAGGCGUCUUGGCUCGCGGAAGCGCAGGCGCCGACUGCCUGGCGUCGUCCGUGACUCCUGGCCCUUCUCUGUGGAUCCCUUUGCUUCUCGUUGCGGGUUGUGUUUCCUGCUUCGUGGGCCUGGCCGUUUGCGUUUGGAUGCAGGCCCGGGUGAGCCCUGCGUGGCCCGCUGGCCUUUUCCUGCUCCCUAGGUGACUGAGCCGCGUGUGUGACACAUCGGAGUGAAUUGAGGCAACGCGUUCCUUUCCAGGCUUGCAGCGGGCGGUGUCGUUCACGCUCCUGAGCAGAGCCUUCCGGUGCUUUACUCGACGCCACAAAUAGUGCAGGGUUCCUCCCAGGGGCUGUCGCGAGCUAGAACUCUUCCCCGCCCCUGUGAGCUCGGGCUGUUCUUCCUCCUCCGCGUGGCUCACUCCAGCCUCGGAUGUUUCCUCGCUGCACAGACCUGCUCGGGAAGACUCGAGAAGGCCACCCCAGGACUCCAGCUCUCCCCGGAAGGGCUUCCCCUCGGAUUGCGUCUUGGCCCCUGGAACCCUCCCUCUGUAUCCUCUGCUGUUCCUCUCUUGGCCUCCAUUUGGGUUGUGGCCUGGAUACUCUGGCUCGCUGCUUCCCUUCUCUUAAGGAUCACAGCCCUGCACUGCCUGUCGUCCGGUGCCUGGAAACCAUUGUAUUUUUUGGUCUGAUUUUGUAGUUGUUUGAGAACUUAAGUCUGGUCCCUCACACUCCAUGCCCAGAAGCAGAAAUGAGUAAAGUUUGUUUUAUCUUUUCUUAAUAUGACAAUUAUUGUGUUGGUUCAACUUAUGUUGUACUUUAAUUAGAAGAAAUUUGGCCGAAAAUACAAGGAAAAUAUACAAAUGCAAGUAAUUUUUUUUAAACUUCCCUGAAAGCAGGGUCUAAAGAAAUUACCAACCAACUUAGACUGGAUCUAGAAGAAAAGGAAGGGUCUUUGCAGUCUUAGGACUCUUCCGUUCCGCGACGUAGGUGUUAGGAUAACAGCCAUAAAUGGUUGUAAGACUUUGGGCUCAGAUAAGUAGACUUAAGUUCAAAUUUUGACUUAUUUUACAAGUGUGUGAUUUUUGGCAAGCUCAUCUUCCUAAACCAUGAGCUCCUUAUUUGUAAAGGGGACAUUAGCCACUCUCCAGCAACAGCCCUGGUACUUCUUCAGUCCUGGGAUGGGACGUAUGAUUAGCCUAAGCGAACCAGAAAAUCCAGGCCCGUGACCAGUGACUUGAUCAGGGCUGGCGAUAUAUCUAGGUGACCAGCAUCAUGUCCCACCGGGUCCCCUGCAGUCCCAGUGCACCUGCCUGCUCAUCCAGGGACCUGUCCUCACUGCCUGCUGCCUGCACUGUGUGGAAGGACAGAGGCUAAACGACGAAGCCUCGAGCUCUGGUCUCAUGGAAAUGGCAGCCUGCCCACCACCCACGCUUGCCCAGCCUUUCUUCACGCAAAGUUUUCCUAUUAACUCUUUCCAAAGAACCUGUUGAUGGUCUUCAGAUUCCUGGAGGCAUUUAGGGAGGGAGCAAGUUUGGGAGAGGAGUGAAUUCACCUGGGCUGCAGCCCACUGCUGAGGACAGACCCUCCAGGGAUACAGGUGUCAAGUCCAUCAAUGGGCUCUGACCCACUGGAGAAAGGGCAGCAUCAACCAUUGGCCAGGCUGCGGGACCAAAGCUGACUUAUGAUGGUGUCAUCGGGUAAGACCUCGCCUGCCCUUGGAUCUCUCCUGCCUCCCACAGCCCCUUGAACCCCAACAAGAAAGACAUACUUGGUGGUGGCUGAUGGCAUCAGGCACCUAAGCUGCCAGCUGGAGGAGGAGCGUCAUGAACCGUGGAGCUGCAGCAGGAGCUGGGUGGCCAUAGCGGCCUUGGUGGGGUGGCAAAGGUCGAUUUAUUCAGGGCAGAGUUUUUGGUGUCUGGAGCAGACUGGGCAUUUUAAAUUGCUGACUUUGGAUGCAUUUGUUGACUUCACGUGGCCAAAGCGCUUCUUAUUUCCUGGGACUGAUUAGAAAAUGUAUACGUCCCACCUGGGUUUUCAUCCAGGGACAGAGAGUGUCCAGAGAACAGGUUUAAAAGGGACAGUAGGAAACAAGCCAAAGCUGUCUCAGGUUACAUCCAGAGCACCUGCCUGCUCCUCACGCAGCUCCUCAGACGUCUCCACCUAAUCACAGAAUGACGGAGCCUCACGUUUCCUCUCAUGGCCACCAACGCCGUGGGGCAGCCAACUUAAAGAAUGUCUUCACUUCAAGAUGGGAUACAGCCUGAAAACACGAGCAGCGAGUGUAAAAUGGGUGGAAGAGGUAUGGCUAAGCCUUUCGAGGUUGGCACUGGGACAGCAGUGGCACCUCCUCCUGACACAUCUCUGAAGGUGAAGGCUGGGCUUCCACGGAGCAUGCGGAUGCCUAACGUGGGAAGAAUAUUUCUCAGCCCUCCGUUCUCAAGACAGAUGAGUGCUUUAGAAAGAGGACUCUGCAGCGGUGAGGAGGAUGGAAUGACAGGCAAAGCACGCAGGACCAGGAGAUGGCUUCGUUCCCUCAAUCACUCAUCCAAAGACGUUUAAUGAGCACCUAUUGUGUGUCAGGCAUUGUACCGGGCAAUGGGGAUAUCGUAGUCAGUAAUAAGUGAGGAGAGAUGAGUUCAUUUGUGAGAGGCUCUGACCAGUGGAAUCAGAGGAAGGGAGUUCCCCUGGGUGGGCCAGGUUCAAAGACAUUUUGGAAGUAGAAUCUGCAGAACAUGAUGAUCUUUUGGAAACAGGGCAGGGACGUGAAUGAGCACGUAAUGUCCCCAUGGGUUUGUCUUUCCGAAGGUUUAAAAUCCUCAAGAAUAAGGAACAUAGGCAUGUGUCGUAACGGUCUCCACAGUGGGGGAGUAUUAUGUUAGUGCACCUGCAUGUUAACUCUGCUCAUGAAGGGGCCACGUCUUCACCACCACAAAGCCUCAAGCAUGCAUAUCUGGUCCCUCCAACCCCCUCCCUAUUGAGGUGCAAUAAAGGCCCAUGUUUCUCCUAGUAUGGGAACAGAACU